CUGGGGGCUCCCGCUUCUCCGAGCGCUGAAGAGCCGGGCAGGACGGGCGCGCGCGCGGACCGUGCAGACAGGGCGCGCGCCAGACGCGGGCAGCUCGAGGGGUCCCGCGGGGCGGCUAGAGGGCCGCCGGACCGGACGGCUGACGAGCGGGCGCCGCGAUGGCAGAGGGCAGCGCCGUGUCCGACCCGCAGCAUGCCGCGCGUCUGCUGCGAGCGCUCAGCUCUUUCCGCGAGGAGUCCCGCUUCUGCGACGCGCACCUGGUCCUCGACGGGGAGGAGAUCCCCGUACAGAAGAACAUCCUGGCGGCGGCCAGCCCGUACAUCAGGACAAAGUUAAACUAUAAUCCUCCAAAAGAUGAUGGAUCAACCUAUAAGAUUGAACUUGAAGGGAUAUCGGUAAUGGUUAUGAGAGAGAUCCUGGAUUACAUCUUCAGUGGGCAGAUCCGGCUGAACGAAGAUACAAUCCAGGAUGUUGUGCAGGCAGCGGACCUGCUCCUGCUGACGGAUCUGAAAACCCUGUGCUGUGAGUUUCUGGAAGGCUGCAUUGCCGCGGAGAACUGCAUCGGCAUCCGCGACUUUGCCCUCCAUUACUGCCUGCACCAUGUCCAUUACCUGGCCACGGAGUACCUGGAGACUCACUUCCGGGACGUCAGCAACACAGAAGAAUUCCUAGAACUCAGUCCACAGAAGCUUAAAGAAGUGAUCUCUCUCGAGAAGUUAAAUGUUGGCAAUGAAAGAUAUGUGUUCGAAGCAGUAAUCCGAUGGAUAGCACACGACACAGAGCUAAGAAAGGUCCACAUGAAGGACGUGAUGUCAGCCCUGUGGGUGUCAGGGUUAGACUCCAGCUACUUACGGGAACAGAUGCUGAACGAACCGCUGGUACGAGAAAUCGUCAAGGAAUGCAGCAACAUACCGCUGAGCCAGCCGCAGCAGGGGGAGGCCAUGCUGGCCAACUUCAAGCCGCGCGGCUACUCUGAGUGCAUCGUGACCGUUGGCGGAGAAGAAAGAGUUUCACGGAAGCCAACAGCAGCGAUGCGAUGUAUGUGCCCUCUUUAUGACCCCAAUAGGCAGCUGUGGAUUGAACUGGCCCCUUUAAGCAUGCCAAGAAUUAACCACGGAGUUCUCUCAGCAGAGGGAUUCUUGUUUGUAUUUGGGGGCCAAGAUGAAAAUAAGCAGACCCUGAGCUCAGGAGAAAAAUAUGACCCAGAUGCAAAUACAUGGACUGCAUUGCCACCAAUGAAUGAGCCACGGCAUAAUUUUGGAAUUGUGGAGAUAGAUGGAAUGCUGUACAUUUUAGGAGGAGAGGACGGAGAAAAAGAGCUGAUUUCCAUGGAGUGCUACGACAUUUAUUCUAAAACCUGGACAAAGCAACCUGACCUGACCAUGGUUAGAAAGAUUGGCUGCUAUGCAGCUAUGAAAAAGAAAAUCUAUGCCAUGGGCGGAGGAUCAUAUGGGAAACUCUUCGAAUCCGUGGAAUGUUAUGACCCAAGGACCCAGCAGUGGACUGCUAUUUGUCCGCUAAAGGAGAGAAGAUUUGGAGCUGUGGCCUGUGGAGUUGCCAUGGAGCUCUACGUAUUUGGAGGAGUCAGAAGUCGUGAAGACAUCCAGGGGAGUGAGAUGGUCACUUGCAAGUCUGAAUUCUACCAUGAUGAGUUUAAGAGGUGGAUCUACCUUAAUGACCAGAACUUAUGCAUCCCCGCCAGUUCCUCUUUUGUUUAUGGAGCCGUCCCCAUCGGAGCCAGUAUCUACGUUAUCGGAGAUCUCGACACAGGUACCAAUUACGACUACGUGCGUGAGUUUAAAAGAAGCACAGGGACGUGGCACCACACCAAACCGCUCCUCCCAUCCGACCUCCGCCGCACCGGGUGUGCAGCCUUACGUAUUGCAAAUUGCAAGCUCUUCCGCCUGCAGCUCCAGCAAGGCUUAUUCCGUAUCCGUGUUCAUUCACCUUGAGAAGGCAGCAGAGCAGAAGCAGAGCUCCUGACCCAGCGCACCAUAACACAGCUUUCUGUGAGGGGACAGAGGGGGUGGCCUAACUCUGGUGGUUUUCCUGUAACGCUUAGAAGCCCGUGCUUCAGCUCCUCCUGGGGGGAACCCGUAACUCGUGAAAAAGCUACCUUGGAGGAAUCAGUUCCUCCAGUCAGAUGUGUCUGCAGACAGACGGGGUGACUAUCAAGAGGCAAAGGGAAGUGGGAAUCGGGAUCAUGUAAAAUACAUUAACGUACUAAGGUGCAUUCUCCCGGAAGGGAACCCCUAUCCGAGUGACUGCUGUGUCCGAGUACCUGGCUUUGGGGAACAAACGGAAAUCAGUAUAUGCAAAUCAACAUAUCCAAACAUGCCGAGAUUGCUUUUCUACUGCACUUGGAAGGAAAUAUCAUGCCUAACCCUGCCCAACAAAUUAAGGACCUCAGAAUCCAAGUUCUCCAUGAAAACAGCCACAUUCCACGGGGCGGAUAAUUUUACAGUGGGAGAUGUUUCAAGUGGCCUUUAGUUGAGAAAAGCACAGACUAUUUAGCAACACUUGCUUCAUUAAAUCAUCAGUGGCUUUUUCUGCUGAUAGGAUUCUUUUCCUUUUGACCAUGGGUCACACAACUUUUGUUCGGUGCCUCACUCUUGUACCCCUUCAAAUUGUCAGGGACGCAGUGAUACUUGUUUCGUUCUGAAUAGUACCAUUUAUGGACGGGGACAGUCGUACAAAAGGAGCAGCCGCGGCUGCGGUGCUGAGUGCCCGUGGCAGCCCGCCCGCCGUGUGGUAAGGCCUCCGCAGAUCCCGGUGCUCAGCGGGCCAAACAAAAGCACCUCCCCGCCCCCUCCCCCUCCGUGCCCGUCCACUCCCGUCCAUGAGGAGCUGCCCGCAGAAGCACCGUAGGCAGGCUCGGGCAGGCUUCAUUGUGUCGCCGUGUGGUCCCGGUAACAGGGAUCCGUGUGUCCUUCUGUGGAUGAGAUCCAUCCAUAAGUCAUUGUAAACGUGUAGAUUCAUUUGGGUUUUGCCGUGUGAUGGAGCUCUCCUGCUAUGAGCAGACUAUCCAGGGAAUUCCUUAAACCAGGAUUGUAAAUGCCACUGGGCUCUCCAGGCGAGACCCAGCGCUGACGUGCACGGUGGCCUCUGGCCCAGGAGGACAGCCAGCGACGCUCCUUUACGCUGGUCGCCUGUGUGGCACCAGGCGUAGCGAUGUGAGGGUCACCCUUCCGAGAAGUGGGUUUUAGUGCACUUUUGAUUUGCCCUUUUAUCACUAUUAAUACCAUAAGGAAAAUUGCGUAAAUACCCAAUUCAAAAAAGCACCGUAUCAGAACUCAUCUGGUUAAAACACAAACGUUUGUCGAACGAACAUAUUUCUAUUUUCUGACACGACACAGAAUCGUUUGAGUGUAAAUCCCGCAGGUUUUAUUAUCUGGUAAGAGUCCAGUUUGAGCAGUCUGCGUAGACGUGUGUUCAGCGAGGUUGUGUUGCAUGCAGUCGGGUACCCUGCUGAGAAGCCAGAGACUUGCCGUGAAUUACACAGAAGCUACACGAAAGACCUGAUGCGGACAGUUGACAAGAUGUGAGGCACCAGGAGGCUGCAGCCACGAGAAUCGUACCGCUCAAACCGCGUGCGACGGUACAGAAGGGCUGAUGCGAUGUCGCGGGAACGUCGCAGUCUCCGACACCCUGUGGUCCAAAUGCGCUCGUUUGUCCUGUGGGUUUGUUCUGUGGAGUAACUUUCUAUUCCUUUGCUGGUGUGAAAUGUAGCAAAGCUGAAGUAAUUUUGAAUCCGUAACUUGUCUUACAGAGUUGCUUUAUGGUUUACAAGUAACACUGAUGCAGAAAAGGUGUGUCCCCUCGUCGGCACUUGUUGGCCUCCUUCGUGUGCCGCGGGGCGACUGCGGGUGGGAACGUACUGCUGUUCUCUUGUGCCGAGGAUCAGUGAAAGUGUUUUAUCUUUUAUAUGUAGUUUGUAUUGACUGGAUUUUAUAACUGUAAGAAAACAGAAAACAGAGUGUUGUAUUUUGAUCUGAAAUUUGUCUAUGGUAAAGUAAUUUUGUUUUAUGUAUUGGAAGUUCAUUUAAAACUUGAAAUAUUUUCUAGAAGGGUACCGAACAAAAUGAAUUGUCUUUAAGCUGUUUAAUUAACCUAAUAAAACAAUUUGAUGGGGAAGGCA